GACGAACGCUGGCGGCGUGCUUAACACAUGCAAGUCGAACGGUAAGGCCCUUCGGGGUACACGAGUGGCGAACGGGUGAGUAACGCGUGAGUAACCUGCCCUUCACUCUGGGAUAACAGUUGGAAACGGCUGCUAAUACCGGAUAUUCAGCUCCUGUCGCAUGGUGGGGGUUGGAAAGUUUUGGUGGUGGGGGAUGGGCUCGCGUCCUAUCAGCUUGUUGGUGGGGUGAUGGCCUACCAAGGCGUCGACGGGUAGCCGGCCUGGGAGGGCGACCGGCCACACUGGGGAUGGGGAAAGGCCCCAAAGCCCUCGGGGGGGAGGCGGUGGGAAAUGUUCAAAAGUGGGCGGAGGCCUGAGCCGCAAACGCCGGGGGGGGGAUACGGGCCUUGGGGUUGAAAACCGUUUUAAGAGGGAACGAGGCGAAGGGGCGGGAACCUGCAAAAGAAGCACCGCUAAACACGGG
rnacentral:rRNA from 1 species